UACGGAGGGGGCUAGCGGUGUUCGGAAUUACUGGGCGUAAAGGGCACGUAGGCGGACUUGUAAGCCAGAGGUGAAAUCCCAGGGCUCAACCUUGGAACUGCCUUUGGAACUCCCGGUCUUGAGGUCGAGAGAGGAGGGUGGAAUUCCGGGUGUAGGGGUGAAAUUCGUAGAUAUUCGGAGGAACACCAGUGGCGAAGGCGGCUCACUGGCUAAAUACUGACGCUGAGGUGCGAAAGUGCGGGGAGCAAACAGG
rnacentral:rRNA from 1 species